GUGACUAUGCGACGCCGCGUGCAGGAUGAAGGCCUUCGGGUCGUAAACUGCUGUCAGUGGGGAAGAAACCCUUAUAUUUAAAAGAUGUAAGGCUGACAUCACCCACAAAGGAAGCCACGGCUAACUCUGUGCCAGCAGCCGCGGUAAGACAGAGGUGGCAAGCGUUGUUCGGAUUCAUUGGGUGUAAAGGGUCUGUAGGUGGCCGAGUAAGUCUGACGUGAAAUCCCAUGGCUCAACCGUGGAACUGCGUUGGAAACUGCAUGGCUUGAGUAUCGCAGAGGUGUAGGGAAUUCCCGGUGUAAGGGUGAAAUCUGUAGAUAUCGGGAGGAACACCAGUGGCGAAGGCGCUACACUGGGCGAUUACUGACACUGAGAGACGAAAGCAAGGGGAGCAAACAGGAUUAGAUACCCCGGUAGUCCUGGCCGUAAACGAU
rnacentral:rRNA from 1 species